rnacentral:rRNA from 1 species
GAUGAACGCUAGCGGCAGGCCUAAUACAUGCAAGCCGAACGGCAAGAUUGAUAGCAAUAUUGAUCCUAGAGUGGCGUAAGGGUGCGUAACACGUAUGCAAUCUACCCUCAACAGGAGGAUAGCUCCCCGAAAGGGGAAGUUAAGACUCCAUAAGAUCAUUUGGUGGCAUCAUUGAAUAGAUUAAACUUCCAGGGGUUGGAGGAUGAGCAUGCGCCNGAUUAGUUAGUUGGCGGGGUAAGGGCCCACCAAGACGAUGAUCAGUAGGGGAACU